rnacentral:rRNA from 1 species
AGUUGGGCACUUUAAUGAGACUGCCGGUGACAAACCGGAGGAAGGUGGGGAUGACGUCAAGUCCUCAUGGCCCUUAUGGGUAGGGCUUCACACGUCAUACAAUGGUCGGUCCAGAGGGUUGCCAACCCGCGAGGGGGAGCCAAUCUCAGAAAGCCGAUCGUAGUCCGGAUCGCAGUCUGCAACUCGACUGCGUGAAGUCGGAAUCGCUAGUAAUCGCGGAUCAGCAUGUCGCGGUGAAUACGUUCCCGGGUCUUGUACACACCGCCCGUCACACCAUGGGAGUGGGGUUUACCAGAAGUAGGUAGCUUAACCGCAAGGAGGGCGCUUACCACGGUGAGCUUCAUGACUGGGGUGAAGUCGUAACAAGGUAGCCGUAUCGGAAGGUGC